CAAAGACAGAGAAGAGGAAGCAGCGGUCGGUGUUCAGGGACGUACUUAGAGCUGUUGAGGAGAGUGACUUCCAGCCUGAGACCAUUCGAUUCGGCACAGAGCACAUGAUCAUCGACAGCUGGGUC